UACGAGGGGGGCUAGCGUUGCUCGGAAUUACUGGGCGUAAAGCGCACGUAGGCGGCUUUCUAAGUCGGGGGUGAAAUCCUGGAGCUCAACUCCAGAACUGCCUUCGAUACUGGAAAGCUCGAGUCCGGGAGAGGUGAGUGGAACUGCGAGUGUAGAGGUGAAAUUCGUAGAUAUUCGCAAGAACACCAGUGGCGAAGGCGGCUCACUGGCCCGGUACUGACGCUGAGGUGCGAAAGCGUGGGGAGCAAACAGG
rnacentral:rRNA from 1 species